CACUUGGACGCUAGUGGCCCCUGGGAGCCCGAUCUGUAAUGACUACUGCAGAGACUGUAUCUGAGCAGUACUGCCGACAUGACUCCUCCAGUACAGACGGUGGAAGCCGCUGACACAAACAGCUGAUAACAGAGUCCCUUCUCCUGCUUCUCCUCCAUUGUGAUGGACCUCUCCCUGACACACUCCUCCACCCAGAGCCAGCCUAUCUGUGCUCACCUGCCCCGAGCCUGUCCCCUUAUCGGGCCCCUCGCGACAGCCCCGGAGCGCUCUAAGGGGCCAGGGAAGUGCAGACAGCUCGGGAGGGGGGCAGAGGGCAGCAGACAGGACAGUGCAGACAGAAGGGGAGGAUGUGAGUGGUGAUUGUAGAGGUGAAAGGGCCGAUUUAGUCCUGGCGAUUCCCUGUCCUCACUGUAUCCUUCCUGUACUGUCCACCGCUGUGUGCUGUGCUGAGACUGACUCUGAAACUACAGACUGGACUCGAAGAUGUGUGAGAAUGAGAGACAGACUGGAUAAGUGGAAGAGACCAGCGCUGCGGUGAGUGACAGCGGUGAACUGGAGCAGCAGACUGAAGCAGAGGGAGAGGAGAUGAUGAAGAUGGAAGCCCAGAAUCGUGAGCUCCGUGUGGGCAGGAGAAGUGUGUUAUGCCCUGUCAGUCCUUCGUGCCUCCGACUGUCUCUGAGUGGACAAACACACAGGAUUAUGAAGGACGGCUGCUGGAGAGAGGG